AACAAUUGGACAGCAGAAGAUUUGGUCCAAGUUACUCUUCAAACAGAGUAAUUUUCUUUUGUUUUUUCAUUCUGCACAAAACCCUACGUUCUGCCCAAGGCGUAGUGGUUCAUUGUAGGGUCUCAUCAUGUUUUCAAUGAUUAUCAUUAAUAAAGGACGUUUGCAAACAAUUUUGUGAUCCUUGUCUUUCUAUUUUUGUUUUCAUUUUU
rnacentral:lncRNA from 1 species